rnacentral:rRNA from 1 species
GACGGAAGGUGCAAGCGUUGCUCGGAAUCACUGGGCGUAAAGGGUGCGUAGGCGGGUCUUUAAGUCCGGGGUGAAAUCCUGGAGCUCAACUCCAGAACUGCCUUUGAUACUGAAGAUCUUGAGUUCGGGAGAGGUGAGUGGAACUGCGAGUGUAGAGGUGAAAUUCGUAGAUAUUCGCAAGAACACCAGUGGCGAAGGCGGCUCACUGGCCCGAUACUGACGCUGAGGCACGAAAGCGUGGGGAGCAAACAGG